rnacentral:rRNA from 1 species
UACGUAGGGUGCGAGCGUUAAUCGGAAUACUGGGCGUAAAGCGUGCGCAGGCGGUUCGUUGUGUCGGCGGUGAAAGCCCCGGGCUCAACCUGGGAAUGGCCGUUGAAACUGGCGAACUGGAGUGUGGCAGAGGGGGUGGAAUUCCGCGUGUAGCAGUGAAAUGCGUAGAGAUGCGGAGGACACCGAUGGCGAAGGCAGCCCCUGGGCUGACACUGACGCUCAGGCACGAAAGCGUGGGGAGCAAACAGG